rnacentral:rRNA from 1 species
GAGCGCAACCCCCGCCGUUAGUUGCCAGCGGUUCGGCCGGGCACUCUAACGGGACUGCCCGCGAAAGCGGGAGGAAGGAGGGGACGACGUCUGGUCAGCAUGGCCCUUACGGCCUGGGCGACACACGUGCUACAAUGCCCACUACAAAGCGAUGCCACCCGGCAACGGGGAGCUAAUCGCAAAAAGGUGGGCCCAGUUCGGAUUGGGGUCUGCAACCCGACCCCAUGAAGCCGGAAUCGCUAGUAAUCGCGGAUCAGCCAUGCCCGCGGUCGAAUACGUUCCCGGGCCUU